CUCGGAGCGACGUAAUUUUGAAAUCGAUUCAUUUUCCGCGCUCCGGUACGUGCAAAAAAAUAAAAAAAUAUAGUAGAUGCCUUGAAAGAAAAAGAGUAAAGAGAAAGAGAGAGAAAGAGAGUGAGCGUAAGCUAUCGCAAUCGCGAGGAAGUCAGGAAGUAUGUACGCAGAACACCGGCUGGUGUCAGAUGUCAGAUGUCAAUUAUGCUCGCUUGAACUCUCGCGACACAGGAAACACAUCCGAGAAGAAGACAAAAAAAAAGAAAGAAAUCGACUCGUUAAUAUUAGGCUCGUGUGCACGAUACUAUUGCAGUAUCACGGACGUUAAUUUUAGACACUGCCGUACGUACUUACGUGCCUUACAUACAAUGUUUCUAUCGCGAUAUCGUUACUAAUUAGUUAAUAAUUGACUCAUUACGUUCUUUAUCGUACGAGUCCAAGUACGUGUGUGUACCGAUAUAUCUAUAUUUCUGUUAUGUGCACAAGACUCAGUGUAACAUGAAAAAAGUUGAGAAAAAUAUAAAACAUCGUCUCCUUUAUUUA